GACGAACGCUGGCGGCGUGCCUAAUACAUGCAGGUAGAACGCUGAAGGAGGAGCUUGCUUCUCUGGAUGAGUUGCGAACGGGUGAGUAACGCGUAGGUAACCUGCCUGGUAGCGGGGGAUAACUAUUGGAAACGAUAGCUAAUACCGCAUAAGAGUAGAUGUUGCAUGACAUUUGCUUAAAAGGUGCAAUUGCAUCACUACCAGAUGGACCUGCGUUGUAUUAGCUAGUUGGUGGGGUAACGGCUCACCAUGGCGACGAUACAUAGCCGACCUGAGAGGGUGAUCGGCCACACUGGGACUGAGACACGGCCCAGACUCCUACGGGAGGCAGCAGUAGGGAAUCUUCGGCAAUGGACGGAAGUCUGACCGAGCAACGCCGCGUGAGUGAAGAAGGUUUUCGGAUCGUAAAGCUCUGUUGUAAGAGAAGAACGAGUGUGAGAGUGGAAAGUUCACACUGUGACGGUAUCUUACCAGAAAGGGACGGCUAACUACGUG
rnacentral:rRNA from 1 species